UACGAAGGGGGCUAGCGUUGCUCGGAAUCACUGGGCGUAAAGCGCACGUAGGCGGACUCUUAAGUCGGUGGUGAAAUCCUGGAGCUCAACUCCAGAACUGCCUUCGAUACUGAGAGUCUUGAGUCCGGGAGAGGUGAGUGGAACUGCGAGUGUAGAGGUGAAAUUCGUAGAUAUUCGCAAGAACACCAGUGGCGAAGGCGGC
rnacentral:rRNA from 1 species